CCUACGGGUGGCAGCAGUGAGGAAUAUUGGUCAAUGGACGGAAGUCUGAACCAGCCAUGCCGCGUGCAGGAUGACGGCUCUAUGAGUUGUAAACUGCUUUUGUACAAGGGUAAACCUGAAUACGUGUAUUCUGCUGAAAGUACUGUACGAAUAAGGAUCGGCUAACUCCGUGCCAGCAGCCGCGGUAAUACGGAGGAUCCGAGCGUUAUCCGGAUUUAUUGGGUUUAAAGGGUGCGUAGGCGGAUUGAUAAGUUAGUGGUGAAAUGUCGGGGCUUAACUCGAGAACUGCCACUGAUACUGUUGGUCUAGAGUGUAGAUGCGGUAGGCGGAAUGUAUGGUGUAGCGGUGAAAUGCUUAGAGAUCACACAGAACACCGAUUGCGAAGGCAGCUUACCAAUCUAUAUCUGACGUUGAGGCACGAAAGCGUGGGUAGCAAACAGGAUUAGAUACCCUAGUAGUC
rnacentral:rRNA from 1 species